AUUGAACGCUAGCGGGAUGCUUUACACAUGCAAGUCGAACGGCAGCGCGGACUUCGGUCUGGCGGCGAGUGGCGAACGGGUGAGUAAUGUAUCGGAACGUUCCCAGUAGCGGGGGAUAACUACGCGAAAGCGUAGCUAAUACCGCAUACGCCCUACGGGGGAAAGCAGGGGAUCGUAAGACCUUGCACUAUUGGAGCGGCCGAUAUCGGAUUAGCUAGUUGGUGAGGUAACGGCUCACCAAGGCGACGAUCCGUAGCUGGUUUGAGAGGACGACCAGCCACACUGGGACUGAGACACGGCCCAGACUCCUACGGGAGGCAGCAGUGGGGAAUUUUGGACAAUGGGGGCAACCCUGAUCCAGCCAUCCCGCGUGUGCGAUGAAGGCCUGCGGGUUGUAAAGCACUUUUGGCAGGAAAGAAACGUCGCGGGCUAAUACCCCGUGGAACUGACGGUACCUGCAGAAUAAGCACCGGCUAACUACGUG
rnacentral:rRNA from 1 species